GGGGCCAUAGCUCAGCUGGGAGAGCACCUGCAUGGCAUGCAGGGGGUCGGCGGUUCGAUCCCGCCUGGCUCCACCA
rnacentral:tRNA from 3 species